rnacentral:rRNA from 1 species
UACGGAGACUGCGAGCGUUAUUCGGAUUCACUGGGCGUAAAGGGUGCGCAGGCGGCCGUGUGUUAGGUGUGAAAGCCCGAGGCUCAACCUCGGAAUUGCGCCUAAAACUACACGGCUAGAGUAUUGGAGAGGUGAGCGGAAUUCACGGUGUAGCAGUGAAAUGCGUAGAUAUCGUGAGGAACACCAGAGGCGAAGGCGGCUCACUGGACAAUUACUGACGCUCAGGCACGAAAGCGUGGGGAGCGAAAGGGAUUAGAUACGCCUGUAGUCCACGCCCUAAACGGUGCAUACUAGGUCUUGGAGGAUUCGACCCCUUCAGGGCCCCAGCUAACGCGUUAAGUAUGCCGCCUGAGGACUACGGCCGCAAGGCUAAA